ACACUGACUGUGACCACUGUGACACUGACUGGCAUCACUAAGCUGGGAUUGACUCCGGGGGCUCGCAGGGCUGUCGGGGUGGAAGACGGCAAUCGAUGAUCUCUCUAAGCACGAGAGGGAGCUGUGGAGGAACGGGUGCCGUUCUCGGCGUCAUCGUGAGCGGCUCAACAAGGAGGCAGCUAAUGCGGCUACUCAUCGAGUCAUCAUCGGCUUCAUCACUAACAGCAAACACCACGGACGUACAAUUAGCACGGCCGGGCUAUUGACGCCAAUCGGCGCCGCUUGUUUUGCGUUUAAAUUGACUUUCAAGUGGAGAGAGGAGAGCACGGGGAGAGCGGGGAGCGAGGGCUCGUAAAUAAGCGGCCUCGCCAGCUGCCGCCGGAGACAAUCCGUCCCGGUGAGUGUCCCGUCUCCACCGCCGCUACAAGGGGCCAUCAUCACCAUUAGCAGCCGCCGUGAGCUCUCUACUGCUGGAUGAAAUCCUUCCCCUAAGUGCUGCCAAUGUCCACGGCCCUGCGAUGUGAGAAGCCACCCCGCACCUCCGAUGAGCGCGGUUGGCUACGUACGGUGCGACACAAGUUGAACGUGCAUGGAGGCAUCAGCUGGCGCCACGCGAGGCGAUGGCAUCGCUUCAUCCCCCGCGCGCGCCACGUGCCACGCGCCACGCACGACUCCGCGUCUCCUCUUCUUGGCGGACAACGCGACGUCUCCCUCCGAUCCACGUGUUCAUCCCCACACUCUCUCUCUCUCUCUGCCCCGCAGAGACAUUCCACGCGCGCGCACCACUCUCGGCGCGUCCUGCUUAGCGCACUUGUGAACCUGCGCUGCAUUCUCAAUGGAGCCAUCAUCAUCAUCAUCGUCGUCGUCAUCUCUCGCGGUCCGUUGUGCAAGGCAGCCGCAGCAUUGCUCAUUAAAUACAUUGAGGAUCAUUCUAA